rnacentral:rRNA from 1 species
CUCGUAGGCGGUUUGUCGCGUCGGGAGUGAAAACACUGGGCUUAACCCAGUGCUUGCUUUCGAUACGGGCAGACUAGAGGUAUGCAGGGGAGAACGGAAUUCCUGGUGUAGCGGUGAAAUGCGCAGAUAUCAGGAGGAACACCGGUGGCGAAGGCGGUUCUCUGGGCAUGAUCUGACGCUGAGGAGCGAAAGUGUGGGGAGCGAACA